AUGAACGGCCUGCGCCGCGCGCUGGAGCGCGCGCCCCCCGCCGCCGCGGACGAGGCCGGCCUCUGGUACGGCCGCCGGAAGGCGCUCGAGCAGCGCACCCCGCUCAUGGUCGCCGCCACCUACGGCAGCCUCGCCGCGCUCCGCCUGCUGCUGUCCCUCCCCUCCGUCGACGUCAACCGCCGCUGCGGCCCCGACGGCACCACCGCCCUUCACUGCGCCGCGUCUGGUGGCUCGUCCUCGGCCGUCGAGGCCGUCAGGCUGCUCCUGGUGGCCGGGGCUGACGCCGAUGCCACAGAUGCGUCCGGGUGCCGUCCGGCUGAUGUGAUCUCUGUGCCGCCAAAGAUGAUUGAUGCAAAGAUCGCCCUCCAAGAUCUGCUUGGGCUCCCAAAGUCUGGACAUGGCUUGCUCCGGGUGGUGACAAGGGCCACAAACCUGACCUCGUCGCCGGUGUCAUCUCCCACCGCCGAGGACGCUCGGUCUCCAUCAGCUGCCGUGAUGAUGAUGUCAAAGUUCCCAGACCUGCCGAGGGUUGCGACCUCAGAGAAGAAGGAAUACCCAGUGGAUCCAUCCCUGCCGGAUAUCAAGAACAGCAUCUAUGCCUCUGAUGAGUUCCGCAUGUACUCCUUCAAGAUCAGGCCGUGCUCCCGGGCGUACUCACAUGACUGGACCGAGUGCCCCUUUGUGCACCCUGGGGAGAACGCUCGGCGCCGCGAUCCGCGCAAGUAUCACUACAGUUGUGUUCCAUGCCCUGAUUUCAGAAAAGGUGUGUGCCGGCGUGGAGACAUGUGUGAGUAUGCUCAUGGGGUGUUUGAGUGCUGGCUCCACCCAGCGCAAUACCGCACUCGCCUUUGCAAGGAUGGCACCGGCUGCAAUCGCCGCGUCUGUUUCUUCGCGCACACCACCGAUGAGCUCCGCCCACUGUAUGUCUCCACUGGGUCCGCAGUGCCAUCCCCUAGGGCCUCAGCAACGGCUGCAAUGGAGAUGGCAGCAGCAAUGGGCUUGAUGCCUGGUUCUCCGUCAUCGGUCUCGGCAGUCAUGUCCCCAUUUACCCCACCAAGGUCUCCUUCUGGGAAUGGGAUGCCCCCUUCUUUGGGCUGGCAGCAACCAAAUGUUCCGACGCUACACCUUCCGGGCAGCAGCCUUCAGUCAAGCAGACUCCGAAGCUCACUUAAUGCAAGGGAUAUGCCUAUGGAUGACUACUCCCUGUUGCAGGAUAUUGAUUCCCAGCUUAUAAACGAUCUGUGCUACUCGCGUCUUGGUUCAUCAGCAGGAGGGAACCAUAGUUCUCGGACCAAGAGUCUGAACCCUUCAAACCUGGAUGAUCUCUUUUCUGCUGAGAUGGUCUCAUCCCCAAGGUACAACAAUGCUGAUCAAGGUGCUAUGUUUUCACCUUCCCAGAAGGCUGCCAUCCUUAAUCAGUUCCAGCAACAGCAGCAGCUUCUUUCGCCGAUCAACACAGGGUUCUCACCAAAGGCUGUGGACAACCAGCAGUUGCAUUCACGCUCAUCCCUACUGCAAGCAUCACUUGGGAUAUCCUCCCCUGGCCGGAUGUCCCCCCGUUGCGUCGAAUCUGGGUCGCCAAUGAACUCCCACCUAGCCGCCGCCCUUGCCCAGCGUGAGAAGCAACAGCAGCAGCAGCACCAACAGCACCAGCAGACAAUGAGGAGCCUCAGUUCUCGUGAUCUCGGGCCUAGUGCUGCAAGAGCAUCGGCUGCUGUUGGCUCUCCUCUGAGCUCAUCAUGGUCCAAGUGGGGGUCUCCUUCAGGGGCACCGGACUGGGGCGUCAACGGUGAAGAAUUGGGUAAGCUUCGCCGGUCAUCUUCCUUUGAGCUGAGAUCAGGCGGCGAUGACCCAGAUCUCUCCUGGGUGCACACACUGGUUAAGGAGUCUCCACCAGAGAAGCAGGUCACCACAGCUGAAUCCAUCAACAACUCUGUCAGACCUUCACCUCAAAUGCAUCCCAGUGUAAGUAACGGUGAAGGCUCUAGUGUGAGCACGCAGCUGAACCGACAUGACCAAGCCGCAGUUAUCGGAGCGCUGCUCGAGCAGAUGCAGCUUGACGAGCAGAUUGGUAGUCUAGCAGCAACAUAG
rnacentral:rRNA from 1 species